UACGUAGGUGGCAAGCGUUGUCCGGAAUUAUUGGGCGUAAAGCGCGCGCAGGCGGUCCUUUAAGUCUGAUGUGAAAGCCCACGGCUCAACCGUGGAGGGUCAUUGGAAACUGGGGGACUUGAGUACAGAAGAGAAGAGUGGAAUUCCACGUGUAGCGGUGAAAUGCGUAGAGAUGUGGAGGAACACCAGUGGCGAAGGCGACCCUUUGGUCUGUAACUGACGCUGAGGCGCGAAAGCGUGGGGAGCAAACAGG
rnacentral:rRNA from 1 species